AUUUUGAAUGUUAAAAAUUGUGAAAACAAGUACAACAAACAUUAUUAAUUGCUACAAUAUAUGUGUUACUUUGUUUCUGUAAUAAUAAAAUUAUGUUUAUAUGAAGCAGCGUAUGAUGAAAAUUCAUAGAUAGUGUGGCCCCCGGUAUAGUUGGGGGAAAAAAAAAAUGUGGCCCUCUCUGUCAUUAAAGUUGCCCAUCCCUGACAUACAUUAAGGUCAAAAUUAA